GUGGGGAAUCUUAGACAAUGGGCGCAAGCCUGAUCUAGCCAUGCCGCGUGAGCGAUGAAGGCCUUAGGGUUGUAAAGCUCUUUCGUGGGGGAAGAUAAUGACUGUACCCCAAGAAGAAGCCCCGGCUAACUCCGUGCCAGCAGCCGCGGUAAUACGGAGGGGGCUAGCGUUGUUCGGAAUUACUGGGCGUAAAGCGCACGUAGGCGGACUGGAAAGUCAGGGGUGAAAUCCCGGGGCUCAACCCCGGAACUGCCUUUGAAACUCCCAGUCUUGAGUUCGAGAGAGGUGAGUGGAAUUCCGAGUGUAGAGGUGAAAUUCGUAGAUAUUCGGAGGAACACCAGUGGCGAAGGCGGCCACCUGGACAGGUACUGACGCUGAGGCGCGAAAGCGUGGGGAGCAAACAGGAUUAGAUACCCUAGUAGUCC
rnacentral:rRNA from 1 species